GGUCCUCGUAGCUCAACUUGUAGAGCAUGGCAUUAACUGUUCCCAAUGUUAGGGGUUCGAUUCCCAUUGGGACCA